AGCAACAACUACAGUCCAUCAGACAGUGUUCCUUCAGACAGUCACUGGGAAUGUAGUUUUAGACAAUUAUGUACUGGUACAAGUUAGUUUAUAAGGACUGAUACCUGCAGCACUGAAAGAUCAGGAUUACUGUAAAGAAAACAAUAGAGAUGAGUGAGGAAAAUUAUGCAAAGUCGGAAGUUACAGCAAAUAAUAGACCUAAUUCGAGUGAUAACAAGUUGAAGACAAUUUGCAGACCCAGAGAGCCAGAAGCUUCAAGCAGUCUGAGAGCUCAGUUUCAGGAAUCAACCCUGCAGGGAGGAAAUGUUACAGACUGACUGCAGUGUGUUUGCUCCUGCUGCUCAAAUUCAACAACCUUAGUGGAGAAAAAGCCAAUCUGGAGACCAGUCACAACAACGUGACUAUAGAGAGAGACCAGUUACAGACCAGUUACAACAACCUGACUAAAGAGAGAGACCAGCUACAGUCCAGUUACAACACCCUGACUAAAAAAAAGAGACCGGCUACAAACUAGUUACAAUUUGAAUAUAGAGAGAGACCAGUUACAGACCAGAUACAACACCCUGACUAAAGAGAGAGACCAGCUACACUCCAGUUACAACACCCUGACUAAAGAGAGAGACCAGCUACAAACUAGUUACAACAUCGUGACUAAAGAGAGAGACCAGUUACAGACCAGAUACAGUACAACACCCUGACUAAAGAGAGAGACCAGUUACAGACCAGAUACAACACCCUGACUAAAGAGAGAGACCAGUUACAGACCAGAUACAACACCGUGACUAAAGAGAGAGAAGUUACAGAGGGAUAAAGGUGAACUCCAGAGGUUUUCUAAACUAGCUACUGGAAAAGUGGGGAACCGAAUGAUGAAGGUGAUGAGGACUGUGCAGAGAUUUUGGGUAAUCUGUGAAAAAGGGUCUGGAAUGACCGUCAAUGCUUGACAAAAUUAUUAUGGAUUUGUGAGAAGUUAUUAUGAUUUAAAUAUAAUAAACAGUGGAACAGAACAAUAAAAUGAUAUUCACAAAUCAAGCUUAAUUUUUGGAGUGGUUCAGUUUAGGUUUUAUUCUAUGCAAUGCUUAAAAACUAAUGCUUAAAGAUUAUUAUUAAGAUUAUUUACUGCUUGUAAUGCCUAAAGAUCAAUUUUUUUAUUCUUUUGUGCUUGCAUUUACU